rnacentral:misc_RNA from 1 species
GAUGAAGAACGUAGCGAAAUGCGAUAAGUAGUGUGAAUUGCAGAAGUACCGUGAAUCAUCGAAUCUUUGAACGCAAAUUGCACUCUCUGGUAUUCCGGGGAGUAUGCCUGUUUGAGGGUCGCUUAACAAACCAUCGAUUUCGUUGCUUUUUUUUUUAAAGUGAUGUUUAUCGGAUUUGAGCCGUCUUUUUUUUUAUAUUUAAGAGGCUUAAAAUUGAUUUUUUUGGUACGAUCGAAGCGUAUUUUUAUGAUCAAUUUUUGGUUAAAGAAACGCACACGUACCGUUAUUUAUAUGAUGUAAUACGUUUGACUAUUGGAUUUAGUUCAUUCGUAUACGAUAUCUUUCAAUAUUUGACCUCAAAUCAGGUAAGAGCACCCGCUGAACUUAAGCAUAUCAAUAAGCGGAGGA